GGGGGUGUAGCUCAUCUGGUAGAGCGCGUGCUUAGCAUCACAUCUGAUGCGCAACCGUCAGACACAACAUGUUCAUGCACGAGGUACUGGGUUCGACUCCCAGCUCCUCCA
rnacentral:tRNA from 1 species